CCUACGGGAGGCAGCAGUGAGGAAUAUUGGUCAAUGGACGAAAGUCUGAACCAGCCAAGUAGCGUGCAGGAUGACUGCCCUAUGGGUUGUAAACUUCUUUUAUAAAGGAAUAAAACCCGGCACGUGUACCUUUUUGCAUGUACUUUAUGAAUAAGGAUCGGCUAACUCCGUGCCAGCAGCCGCGGUAAUACGGAGGAUCCGAGCGUUAUCCGGAUUUAUUGGGUUUAAAGGGUGCGUAGGUGGGUUGGUAAGUUAGUUGUGAAAUGUUGCGGCUCAACCGUGAAAUUGCAAUUGAUACUGGCAGGCUUGAGUACAGUUGAGGUAGGCGGAAUUCGUGGUGUAGCGGUGAAAUGCAUAGAGAUCACGAAGAACCCCGAUUGCGAAGGCAGCUUACUAAACUGUGACUGACAUUGAUGCUCGAAAGUGUGGGUAUCAAACAGGAUUAGAUACCCUGGUAGUC
rnacentral:rRNA from 1 species